CUCCAAAAUACUCACCAUCGCCUAAAAGAGCUAUGCGCAACUCUUCACCGUGGGGGCCGCGACUGAUGACUUCGGCCUGACCAUUGGCUACGAUGAAAAACUUUUGUUUGUCCUUUCCCUCCUCAACAAAUAGUUGACCUAUUUCCAACUCUUUCGUCUCAAAUGAUUGAGCAAGUCUGUUUACUAUCUCGUCUUCGAAUUCCGAAAACAGAGGGAUAGCCUUCAGGCUCUUGGCUGAAAAUGAUGGCUCGCCGUUGAGGUACUGGAUGGGCAAGCGCUCGCUUUUUCGAAGCUCCACCUUGGUGCGGUUGACACGGAAUGUGCCGCCGCUGACUUGCACCCAAGGCAACAGUUUCAACAGUAGUCUCGGGGUGAUACUGCCCAUCUGAGGAGCAGUUUUGGUAGUUGUCGCCAAUCUUCUGGCGGUGGCAG
rnacentral:antisense_RNA from 1 species